rnacentral:rRNA from 1 species
UACGAAGGGGGCUAGCGUUGUUCGGAAUUACUGGGCGUAAAGCGCACGUAGGCGGCUCUUUAAGUCGGGGGUGAAAUCCUGGAGCUCAACUCCAGAACUGCCUUCGAUACUGAAGAGCUUGAGUCCGGGAGAGGUGAGUGGAACUGCGAGUGUAGAGGUGAAAUUCGUAGAUAUUCGCAAGAACACCAGUGGCGAAGGCGGCUCACUGGCCCGAUACUGACGCUGAGGCACGAAAGCGUGGGGAGCAAACAGG